rnacentral:lncRNA from 1 species
GCAGGAAGUGGAGCAGGAUUGUGGCCAUUAUUGCGGUCUGCCAGGGAGUGACAGAGCCGCAUGAAAUCCAUCGCAGGAAGUGGAGCAGAGUCAUGGCCGUUGCUAUGGCCUGCUAGAGGGUCCAGGCCUGUCGGUCGAAGUCCGACUGGAGUGUCUGGCAGGGAAGGGUGGCUAGUUGCCCGUCUGAGAGGAGCUCGGAGUCCGGCUCUCAUGGGAGUUUGG